rnacentral:rRNA from 1 species
AGCGAACGCUGGCGGCAGGCUUAACACAUGCAAGUCGAGCGGGCCCUUCGGGGUCAGCGGCGGACGGGUGAGUAACGCGUGGGAAUGUGCCUUCUGGUCUGGAAUAACCCUGGGAAACUAGGGCUAAUACCGGAUACGCCCUUUUGGGGAAAGGUUUACUGCCGGAAGAUCGGCCCGCGUCUGAUUAGCUAGUUGGUGGGGUAACGGCCUCCCAAGGCGACGAUCAGUAGCUGGUCUGAGAGGAUGAUCAGCCACACUGGGACUGAGACACGGCCCAGACUCCUACGGGAGGCAGCAGUGGGGAAUAUUGGACAAUGGGCGCAAGCCUGAUCCAGCCAUGCCGCGUGAGUGAUGAAGGCCUUAGGGUUGUAAAGCUCUUUUAUCCGGGACGAUAAUGACGGUACCGGAAGAAUAAGCCCCGGCUAACUUCGUG